CGGGUCUGGAGAAAACAGAAUAUUAUAAGAAUAAAUUAUUUGUUCUGUUUACCCACAUGUGGCGAUGAUACUCUGGAUUUACAAUGUCAGAUAGAGCGAAAAAACAUUAGUUUACACAAACAUCCUCAGGCAGAAGAGCGAGUUUCUAAUUUAAACUCUUCAUAAUAAAAGCUUGACUUUCAGCCAAGCUGAGUGCUUCACUGAUUCUUUGCCAAGUCUGGAGGUAAUAAGAGAGCUAAUGAGCUUCAUGGUUUAUUCUAUUUUUAAUUCUUAUGUGCACGCUACAUUGACAAAUGCUUUCCAGUUAGUACCAGUACUUAUGCUUUGGUAUCCACUGUAUGAAAGCUGUAAAUCCCUGAGGGCAGCUUUUACAGUGAUUAUGGAGAGUGAUGCUAAUUGUAUUUGAAGGCAAACUGAGCCUUUUGUGUCACAACCAAGAAAACCUUCUUGAACACCUCAGCACUGUGUAUUAACACACACUCUAACACCUGGCUUCACCACUGGGGGGCAGCAGAGACAUUCCCAUGACUGCUUCACCUUCACAUUCUGAAGCCUGUCAGAUUCCACACAAUAUGACUGCAUGUAAGACCUCACCAGAUGUGACUGGUCAACAUCUGCACCUUUCCUGAUUUGAUACAGUAACAGUCAGUUUCAGUCUCUGCUCUGUGUGAGUACAACAGCUUGAAACUGCUACAGAAAUACCGACGAUUUACAGCAUUAAUACACAUGAUGAGACCUGAUUCAGACUAAUUAGAUGAGCUGAGGCUUGACUUUACUCGUGGAAACAGGUAUAAACUUGGUCUCUCUGGAACUUAAAGAGGAUGAGGACGCAAACUCUCACCUGCAUGAGUGAGGCACUCGGGCGUGUAUAAACAACCAAAAAGACCAUUUCCCUGACUGAAGCACGAGUACUGACUGAAAGGUUUUGUUCUCACUCGCGUACGAACACAGAUACUGAAGAAACCGUGAGAAUAAAAACCACCAGGACACAAAAGACGACGUUCUUCCACUCCGUGAUUCCCACAAGAGUUGGACUGAAUGACAAAAGAAACAAGGCCAGCAGUGCAUUAUGGGAAUUAUUGGCUCUAAACAUACUGCAGAUCAAUUAGACUGCCUCAGUCAAACCACCCAUUAUAUAUAGACUGAGAGCAGUAUAGAGACCCACACUGCCUCAGCACCUAUAUACAGUUUAUUCAUAUGAUCUGGUCACAUCAUUUGUUCCAACCAUAUAAAUAAUAACUGACACUAAAAUCUAAUUCUCAGUAUUUGCUCCUCUGCAGAGUUUUGGUUAAAUUUAGAUUUAGUGACGUUACUCUGAAGAAGGUUUCUACAUUUAAGAUACAGAUGUGACUGAACCUGGUGCCGCUGCUAAAAUAUCACAGUGAAAGGAGAAGUGCACGGCCGUCAGACUGAGAGCCUGCAGAGAGCAGGUCUGAGGUCUGAGUCACAGUAACUCGUCUACACACACUCGCACUGAACUGAACCUGUUUCUAUACAACGCUGCUUUCAGGUAAUGUUGGAAAACGCAUAAUUUCAAAUCCCCAUUUCAAAUCACAACUCAAAACACAUCUGUUUAAAACUGCCUUUUCCAUCUGAUGCCAAUUGCUCUGUCACUUUUGUAUUGUUUUUAUUUUUAUAUUUCAUUUUUAUUGUUGUUAAUUAAUUAAUUCUUAAUGUGUUUUAAUCUCAAUUUGUGUAACUGUGUACGGUGUCCUUGAGUGCCAAGAAAGGCGCCUUUAAAUAAAAUGUAUUAUUAUUA